UCGGGAAUUUUGGGCAAUGGGCGAAAGCCUGACCCAGCAACGCCGCGUGAAGGAUGAAGUAUUUCGGUAUGUAAACUUCGUAAGAAUAGGAAGAAUAAAUGACGGUACUAUUUGUAAGGUCCGGCUAACUACGUGCCAGCAGCCGCGGUAAUACGUAGGGACCAAGCGUUGUUCGGAUUUACUGGGCGUAAAGGGCGCGUAGGCGGUGUGUCAAGUCAGUUGUGAAAUCUCCGAGCUUAACUCGGAACGGUCAACUGAUACUGUCACACUAGAGUACAGAAGGGGCAAUCGGAAUUCUUGGUGUAGCGGUGAAAUGCGUAGAUAUCAAGGGGAACACCUGAGGCGAAGGCGGGUUGCUGGGCUGAUACUGACGCUGAGGCGCGAAAGCUAGGGUAGCAAACGGGAUUAGAUACCCGUGUAGUCCCUGAGCGGGCUGGCAAGGCGCAU
rnacentral:rRNA from 1 species